rnacentral:rRNA from 1 species
AGGAUAAACGCUGGCGGCGUGCCUAAUGCAUGCAAGUCGAACGGAGUAGGCCUUCGGGCAUACUGAGUGGCGGACGGGUGAGGAACACGUACGAGACCUGCCCUCGGAUGGGGGAAUAAGCCCUCGAAAGGGGGUCUAAUGCCGCAUACGGUCCCAAGCAGCAAGGUUUGGGAGGAAAGCUCGAGAGGGCGUCCGAGGAGGGGCGUGCGGCCGAUUAGCUAGUUGGUGGGGUAAAGGCCUACCAAGGCGACGAUCGGUAGCUGGUCUGAGAGGAUGGUCAGCCACACUGGGACUGAGAUACGGCCCAGACUCCUACGGGGGCAGCAGCAGGGAAUCUUGCGCAAUGGGCGAAAGCCUGACGCAGCAACGCCGCGUGGGUGAAGAAGGCUCUCGGGUCGUAAAGCCCUUUUCGUGGGGGAAGAAGUCCUGACGGUACCCCAGGAACGAAGCCACGGCUAACUACGCGCUAGCAGCCGC